GAAACUUAUUGGUUUGUCUUAGUCCUGCUAAGUCUAAAGUCCUGCGGUUCAAAUCCGUUGAAGUUUCG
rnacentral:tRNA from 1 species